CUCUUUAUUCAGGCUAGGUUGUCUUCUCAUCAAUCCUUCCAGUGAGUGGACAUGGAAGACUCCAUGAGACCUGCAUCUGGGAUGUCAACUUGCAGCUUUGGGAAUUGUGUCUCACAGCAGGCUUCGGCUUUCUGGACCACAACCCACACUUCAAAACAAGAGACAUGCUUGGGUGGGAGGGGCUCCACCUCUCCCCCAAAGGUAAGCUUGUGUUCUCUUUCAGGUUGGCUGAUCUCCUCCUGCAGGCUUUAAACUAGGCUCAUCAGGGGAGGGGGACGAAGAGGACCAAGAGAGACAUGGAAUACUGAACCAGAAGACACCCUCAAGAACAGCCCAGCCAAGACAGGCGACGACCACA